AUUGAACGCUGGCGGCAGGCCUAACACAUGCAAGUCGAGCGGAUGAAGGGAGCUUGCUCCUGGAUUCAGCGGCGGACGGGUGAGUAAUGCCUAGGAAUCUGCCUGGUAGCGGGGGAUAACGUCCGGACACGGGCGCUAAUACCGCAUACGUCCUGAGGGAGAAAGUGGGGGAUCUUCGGACCUCACGCUAUCAGAUGAGCCUAGGUCGGAUUAGCUAGUUGGUGGGGUAAAGGCCUACCAAGGCGACGAUCCGUAACUGGUCUGAGAGGAUGAUCAGUCACACUGGAACUGAGACACGGUCCAGACUCCUACGGGAGGCAGCAGUGGGGAAUAUUGGACAAUGGGCGAAAGCCUGAUCCAGCCAUGCCGCGUGUGUGAAGAAGGUCUUCGGAUUGUAAAGCACUUUAAGUUGGGAGGAAGGGCAGUAAGUUAAUACCUUGCUGUUUUGACGUUACCAAAAGAAUAAGCACCGGCUAACUUCGUG
rnacentral:rRNA from 1 species